CCCUUAGAUGUUCUGGGCUGCACGCGCGCUACACUGAUGCAUUCAACGAGUAUCGUGCCUUACUUGGAAAAGUUUGGUAAUCUGAGGAUAAUGUGCAUCGUGAUGGGAAUAGAGUUUUGCAACUAUUAGUCAUGAACGAGGAAUUCCCAGUAAGUGCAAGUCAUAAGCUUGCGCUGACUACGUCCCUGCCCUUUGUACACACCGCCCGUCGCUACUACCGAUUGAAUGAUUUAGUGAGGACUUCGGACUGGGACCGAUGCGGCUUUCGGGCUGCGUCGGUAUUCUGGAAAGAUGUCCAAACUGUAUCAUUUAGAGGAAGUAAAAGUCGUAACA
rnacentral:rRNA from 1 species